UAACACGUUUGGUGACCUGCCCCGAAGCGGGGGAUAACUCUGGGAAACCANAGCUAAAACCCCAGAUGUUUAAGGGUUUAGACGCCUUAAACUAAAACUGCGGUGCUUCGGGAGGGGCCUGCGGGCUAUCAGCUAGUUGGUGGGGUAAAAGCCUACCAAGGCGAAGACGGCUAGGGGGCGUGAGAGCGUGACCCCCCACAAUGGAACUGAGAAACGGUCCAUACUCCUACGGGAGGCAGCAGUGAGGAAUAUUGAGCAAUGGGCGCAAGCCUGACUCAGCAACGCCGCGUGGAUGAUGACGGCCUUCGGGUUGUAAAAUCCUUUUCUGAGGGAAGAUAAUGACGGUACCUCAGGAAUAA
rnacentral:rRNA from 1 species